UAAGCGCGGGUCCGUCAUCUGGGGAGUAGCCGCCCGCGCAUUUUGCGGGACCUGCCGUCAACACACUUGGUCGAGAGGCCAUGGCGCGCAGGAGGACGUUUCCAAACGUCC
rnacentral:sRNA from 2 species